CAGCUAUUUGUUUUCCUUAGGAAUUGUUUCAAAACAUAGGAACGUAUAAUGAAGGGCAAUUUAUUGUAUGGAAGGGAGAGAUAUUUUCUUGCCUCAUUUAGUUCUGGUAAAGAAGCUGGCUUAACUCUAGUUAAUGUGUUUCCAUUUAGAUUUACUUUCAAAAGGGGAACAUCUUUCCUCUGGCCUUCAGCUUUAUUUAACCUCUGGAGAUGGAAGGAAAAAUUAAAUGUGAUUAAGGAAAGUAAGAGAUCCAAGAAACACAGAAACUACCAAAUUGGCCUUAGGAGAAAUAGAAAAUCUGAACAGACCUAUAACAAAUAAAGAGAUUGAAUCAGUAAUAAAAAACCUCCCAAGAAAAAAAGCCCAGGAUCAGAUGCCUUCACUGGUGAAUACCAGAUGAAUGUAAAAUUAGUGUGGCUUAAAGAUGAGGGAGAAUAUUUCAUAUGGUAAAGGGGCUUAUAUUGUAUCCUAAGGAAUGGGUAGGCAUUGGUCACAGAUGAGAUGAGUAGAGUCAUUACUUGCAAGUAAGGAACAGAAUGAAAUGGACACAGCAGGGAGGAUAGAGAUAAUGACAACUUUGUUCAGUGUAAUGGUUUAUGUUGUACAGGAAAUUGAUAAUGGAUAUGUAGGUUAGGGCCAAACAAAUGAAGUUCUUAAAUGGUAAUGUGAAGAGUUAGGACAUUAUCCUAGAUGGGAUCAAUUAGAAGAUUGUGGGCAAGGCUAUGAUAUUACAAAAGCAGAUUUUUAGAAGAUACAUUUAAUUGUAUUCAUGAUGAAUUGAAAACAUGGGAGAACAUAAUAGAUGACUGGUUAGGAGGUUUUGAUGGUGAUUCAGGCAAGAUUAUCAUAGAAAAGGAUGAUUACACUGAGAUUGAAAGAAAACAAUUAUAUGGACAUGAAACUUGGUGGCCAAUAACUUAUAAAAGGUGAAUUAGAGUUGAAAAACUAUUAGAUGAUUCCAAGGUUUAUAAGAUGAAAAACUAGAAGGACAGUGGAAACACUAUCAAAAAUGGAGGGACUAGGGCAAAAAACCAGAUUUGCAGUAUGAACAAUGAAUGCAACUGGACAUUCAGAGUUUGAGAUCCUAGGAGCAUAUCAGGGUGGAAAUUUCCUAUAGGGCAAAUAUCCAGGACAGGAUUUAGAGAGAAAAUCCAGGUUAGGGGAUAUAGAUUUGAAAAUCAUUGCUUGACCACUUCUAGUAGUCUCCCAAAGGGUUUCAGAGAGCUCUAGAUAAGUGACGUAAAUAGUACUUUAAAUCAUUAUUUAAUGGGGGAACUCUUCACCUUUCCUCUUGCAUUUGUGUAUUCCAGCCAGAAUGAAGAAACAGAGAUGUGCUAUGAGAUACAGAGGAGUGCUCCCAUAGAGUACCACCCCACAACAUUCCUAGAAAAGAUCUGGAAGAACCAUGAAAAAUCAAUCAGAGUGAUGAGCAUUCAGUGGUCAUUCCUGCAGGCAGCCUUUCCUAAACAGCAAGGGAUGGCUGAGUCCAAUUCAAGUCAGCCCCUUAAACCUUACCUGCUUUGAUAGGAGUUUUGGUUAACGAUAACAAGAGGAAGGGAUUAGAGUGGAAGAUAAAGAAAGCUGUUGGCCUAGUGCUCUCUGUAAUUCUGUACUCAGAAUAAAUGAGAAACAUAUUGGAAAAUA